UAAACGGCCCUUUUCAGGGCCACGACACAAGAUCUAACUUUGGGGA
rfam:Macrostomum lignano uti_cns_0000768, whole genome shotgun sequence.